rnacentral:rRNA from 1 species
UACAGAGGUCCCAAGCGUUGUUCGGAUUCACUGGGCGUAAAGGGUGCGUAGGCGGUCGGGUAAGUCUGAUGUGAAAUCUCACAGCUUAACUGUGAAACUGCAUUGGAUACUAUCCGGCUAGAGGAAUGGAGGGGAGACUGGAAUACUUGGUGUAGCAGUGAAAUGCGUAGAUAUCAAGCGGAACACCAGUGGCGAAGGCGGCUCACUGGCUCAUUACUGACGCUCAUGCGCGACAGCGUGGGGAUCAAACAGG